rnacentral:rRNA from 1 species
UCAGGAUGAACGCUGGCGGCGUGCCUAAUACAUGCAAGUCGAACGCUUUGUGGUUCAACUGAUUUGAAGAGCUUGCUCAGAUAUGACGAUGGACAUUGCAAAGAGUGGCGAACGGGUGAGUAACACGUGGGAAACCUACCUCUUAGCAGGGGAUAACAUUUGGAAACAGAUGCUAAUACCGUAUAACAAUGACAACCGCAUGGUUGUUAUUUAAAAGAUGGUUCUGCUAUCACUAAGAGAUGGUCCCGCGGUGCAUUAGCUAGUUGGUAAGGUAAUGGCUUACCAAGGCGAUGAUGCAUAGCCGAGUUGAGAGACUGAUCGGCCACAAUGGGACUGAGACACGGCCCAUACUCCUACGGGAGGCAGCAGUAGGGAAUCUUCCACAAUGGGCGAAAGCCUGAUGGAGCAACGCCGCGUGUGUGAUGAAGGGUUUCGGCUCGUAAAACACUGUUGUAAGAGAAGAAUGACAUUGAGAGUAACUGUUCAAUGUGUGACGGUAUCUUACCAGAAAGGAACGGCUAAAUACGUGCCAGCAGCCGCGGUAAUACGUAUGUUCCAAGCGUUAUCCGGAUUUAUUGGGCGUAAAGCGAGCGCAGACGGUUAUUUAAGUCUGAAGUGAAAGCCCUCAGCUCAACUGAGGAAUUGCUUUGGAAACUGGAUGACUUGAGUGCAGUAGAGGAAAGUGGAACUCCAUGUGUAGCGGUGAAAUGCGUAGAUAUAUGGAAGAACACCAGUGGCGAAGGCGGCUUUCUGGACUGUAACUGACGUUGAGGCUCGAAAGUGUGGGUAGCAAACAGGAUUAGAUACCCUGGUAGUCCACACCGUAAACGAUGAGUGCUAGGUGUUUGAGGGUUUCCGCCCUUAAGUGCCGCAGCUAACGCAUUAAGCACUCCGCCUGGGGAGUACGA